GCCUCGGUAGCUCAGCCGGAAGAGCGUCAGAUUUGUAAUCUGUUGGUCGAGGGUUCAAAUCCCUCCCGGGGCU
rnacentral:tRNA from 1 species